CGGUGAAUACGUUCCCGGACCUUGCACACACCGCCCGUCAAGCCAUGGAAGCUGGGUGUACCUAAAGUCGGUAACCGUAAGGAGCCGCCUAGGGUAAAAUUAGUGACUGGGGCU
rnacentral:rRNA from 1 species